UUUUGUAGACCAGAUUCUGCAUUUUAUAUUCAUACUCUCUUCAAGUAGAAGAAUUAUUUACCCUCUUAAAGAAGAAUUGUACACUCUUUGUUGAAGAAGAAUUAUAUACACUCUCUUGAAGAUGAAUUAAACACUCUCUUGAGGAAGAAAUGUAUAUGCUCUCUUGAAGAUGAAUAAAACACCCUCUUGAAUAAGAUAUAUACACUCUCUCUAGAAGAAGAAUUAUACACAUUCUGGCAAAAGAUUUAUGCACCUUCUGGAAAAAUAUUCACUUUCCAGAAAAAUUAUACACUCUGUUGAAGAGUGUUUAUACUUUCUAGAAGACUUAUACACUCUUUUUUAAAGAACUACACACUCUCUUAUAUACUCUCUCUGGAAGGACAAUUAUAUGCUUUGUGAAAGGUUUAUACAGUCUUUUGAAGAAUAAUUAUACACCCUCUGUGGGAGAAAAAUCAUACACUCUCUAUAGAAGACAUUAUACAUGCUCUGUAAAAAUAUGUAUACACACACUUGAAAAUAAUUACAGAUCUUGAAGAUGAAUCAUACACUCUCAGGAAAAACAAUUAUACACUCACUGGAAGAAGAAUUAUAUAUGCUCUUAAAGAAGGAUUAUACAUACAGUGGAAAAAGAAUUAUACACUCUGUGGAAGAAUUGUAUAGCCUUUGUGGAAAAAUUGUAUACACCCUCUUGGAGAAAAAUUAUACAAUUUCUGGAAGAACAAUUAUACAUGCUCUCUGGAGGAAAAAUUAUAUGUUCUUAGGAAUAAGAAUGAUAUACUCUCUAGGAGAAAAAUUAUACACACUCUGUAAGGAUAAUUAUACACUCACUGGUGAAAGAAUUAAACAGACCCUUGAAGAAGAAUUAAACACACUCUGGGACAAAAAUCAUACAAAGUCUGGUAAAAAAAUUAUACAUUCAUUGGAAGAGUUAUACACUCACUGGAAGAAGAAUUGUACAUCUUCAGGAAGAAGAAUUAUAAACACACUGGAAGAAGAAUUAUACAACCUUUCGAAGAAGAAUUAUACACACACUGGAAGAAGAAUUAUACAACCUUUCGAAGAAGAAUUAUACAACUUGUUGAAAAAGAAUAAUACACAUUCUCAGAAAAGAGUUAUACAUCCUCUUGAAACUGAAAUAUAUACACCCACUGGAAGCAUAUCUGACCUCUAAAAAGAAGAGGUUACUGCUCUGGAGACUUUACAAGACUCAAAGACUCGAAAUUGGAAAUGUAAUUAAAGGAAUGAUUAGGAAUGAAAUCAAGACUGCGGAAGACUGAUUCAAACUGAAGAUGCAAAAGGAAAGACAAGAAAAUAGAGUUACUUCCCUUUGAUGAGGUUGAUACGUUUAGAGUAUUUCAACCGAUUUACACAAGAAUAUGGCACGAUGAUGAUAUAUGAAGUCUUGCUCAACUCUGACAUGAUCAAUAAUUUUAACUCUAAUAAUAAUAUUGAUUCUCGACCAGCCUGCCUACCAGCCAGCAGGAAAUGUUUUGCUGUUUUCUAUUAUUUCU